rnacentral:pre_miRNA from 1 species
AGACCAUGUUGAGCCUUGGCACUGGGAGAAUUCACAGGAGUUCUGAAUAUACCCGUGAAUUUCCUGAUGCCUUAGCUUAAUGCGGUCU